AUGCACGCUGGCGGCGUGCCUAAUACAUGCAAGUCGAGCGAACAGACGAGGAGCUUGCUCCUCUGACGUUAGCGGCGGACGGGUGAGUAACACGUGGAUAACCUACCUAUAAGACUGGGAUAACUUCGGGAAACCGGAGCUAAUACCGGAUAAUAUAUUGAACCGCAUGGUUCAAUAGUGAAAGACGGUUUUGCUGUCACUUAUUGAUGGAUCCGCGCCGCAUUAGCUAGUUGGUAAGGUAACGGCUUACCAAGGCGACGAUGCGUAGCCGACCUGAGAGGGUGAUCGGCCACACUGGAACUGAGACACGGUCCAGACUCCUACGGGAGGCAGCAGUAGGGAAUCUUCCGCAAUGGGCGAAAGCCUGACGGAGCAACGCCGCGUGAGUGAUGAAGGUCUUCGGAUCGUAAAACUCUGUUAUUAGGGAAGAACAAAUGUGUAAGUAACUAUGCACGUCUUGACGGUACCUAAUCAGAAAGCCACGGCUAACUACGUG
rnacentral:rRNA from 1 species